AUACGGAGGAUCCGAGCGUUAUCCGGAUUUAUUGGGUUUAAAGGGUGCGCAGGCGGCCAUUUAAGUCAGCGGUUAAAUCGUGGGGCUCAACCCCAUUCUGCCGUUGAUACUGGGUGGCUUGAUUGCGGUCGAGGUUGGCGGAAUUCGUUGUGUAGCGGUGAAAUGCAUAGAUAUGACGAAGGACACCGAUUGCGUAGGCAGCUGACCAGACCGCAAAUGACGCUCAUGCACGAAAGUGCGGGGAUCGAACAGGAUUAGAUACCCUGGUAGUCCGCACAGUAAACGAUGAAUACUUGUUUUCGGCGAUAUAAUGUCGGAGGCAAAGCGAAAGCGAUAAGUAUUCCACCUGGGGAGUACGCCGGCAACGGUGAAACUUAAAGGAAUUGACGGGG
rnacentral:rRNA from 1 species